AAAAGCCUUAUUAUUUUUCAAAGAUCAGACCAAAACAGUUUUUUGAUUUCAAAAAUAUGUACAUUAAAAUAAUAAUAAAUAAAAAAAAUUCAACCUGUAGACACAAAAUUAACCAGGUAAUUUGAAGCCGGUUUGAAGAGGGGGUUCCAGUUUUACAGAUAUUAUUAUAUUGUUCCUGGUUCGGGACAAAUAUUUGUUUACGCAUAGCAUUACCUAGCCCGAGAAAUAAUUAUUUUUUAUGCCUACGCCCAUGGGACACCGGUUUAUCCUAUUCGGGAUGGAAAACUGUGUCACAUCCCCAGGUGGAAUGGAUUGGAAGACGAAAGAGCGGUCCAAUGCCGGUAAUAUAUGUACAUAAUAUAUGCAUAAAUAUGCUAAACACACCACGCAAUGACCCAAAAGCCGCUGUCCUUGGGAGAUGCGAUCCAAUCCGAUCGGAGAUGCGGCAAAAUCAAAAUCAAAAUCAAAACCAGACGAGACGAGACGAGACGAGACGGGCUGGAAAACUAGUUUAGGUCGUGGCGUGGCAUUGCUAAUUAAAAAUACACUUUUACUCUCGUCUGUAGAUAGGUGGUUCUUGGAAGCACACAAAUCCGAAUCUAAAAUUCAAUUGGCAAAUUAAUUUGUAAACUAAACACGAUUAAAUCCCAGCCAGAGUGUGGUGUGCGACUGGUUUGGCCUGCAAUUAUACAUAUCAUAUUAUGAAUGCGAAUGCGAAUGCGAAUGCCGCUCAUCGGUGUGCCAACUCCAUAUGCAAGAUCUUGGGCCCAGCCUCAGCGCCAAUUUGUCAGCCUGGAGCAAAAAGCAGUUAAAGAUUUGGCAAUUCAAGUUUUUGGGUUUGGGUCAUCAAAUGCUGGCUUUUAAUUGGAGAUGCGCCAAAGCCGAUCCAGAAAUAAAACCCAAAGAACUGGGUUCGAAAAUCAAUAUACAGGUAAUUGCCAAUGAAAACAAAGGGAAAUGGACCACGUACUGGGACUUACAGUUAAGUCACCUGCAAACGUUGUUGUAAGGUUCUGGUGAUUUCACUAGCCGCUAAACGCGCAUUGAAUGUAAUUAGCCCUGCCGGCGGAAAAUCUAUGCAUAUUA